rnacentral:rRNA from 1 species
CCGGUUGAUCCCGCCGGAGGCUACCGCUAUUGGAGUUCGAUUAAGCCAUGCGAGUCGCGAGUCUUCAAGGACUCGGCGUACCGCUCAGUAACACGUGGGUAACCUGCCCUAUGCUGGGGGAUAACCUCGGGAAACUGAGAAUAAUACCCCAUAGUUCACCACGCCUGGAACGGUGGGUGGAUGAAAGCUCCGGCGGCAUAGGAUGGGCCUGCGGCGUAUCAGGUUGUAGGGGGUGUAAUGUACCCUCUAGCCAUCUACGCGUACGGGUGUUGGGAGACAUCGCCCGGAGAUGGAUUCUGAGACACGAAUCCAGACCCUACGGGGUGCAGCAGGCGCGAAAACUUGGCAAUGCGAGCAAUCGUGACCAGGGAACUCCAAGUGCAUCGGGUAAGACCGAUGCUUUUCUUGACUCUUCAAAGGUCUUGGAAUAAGGGGUGGGUAAGGACGGUGCCAGCCGCCGCGGUAAUACCGGCGCCUCAAGUGGUAGUCGCUUUUAUUGGGCCUAAAACGUCCGUAGCCGGUUUGGUACAUUCGUGGGUAAAUCAAGGCGCUCAACGUCUUGAAUUCUGCGAGCACGGCCAGACUUGGGACCGGGUGAGGUGUGGGGUACUCUCAGGGUAGGGGUAAAAUCCUGUCAUCCUGAGAGGACCACCUGUUGCGAAGGCGCCACACUAGAACGGAUCCGACGGUCAGGGACGAAGCCUAGGGGCACGAACCGGAUUAGAUACCCGGGUAGUCCUAGGUGUAAACGCUGUGGACUUGAUGUUGGGAGUGCUCCGAGCACCCUCAGUGUCGAAGCGAAGGUGAUAAGUCCACUGCCUGGGGAGUACGGUCGCAAGGCUGAAACUUAAAGGAAUUGGCGGGGGAGCACUGCAACCUGAGGAUUGUGCGGUUUAAUUGGAUUCAACGCCG